GAUGAACGCUGGCGGCGUGCCUAAUACAUGCAAGUCGAGCGAACAGACGAGGAGCUUGCUCCUCUGACGUUAGCGGCGGACGGGUGAGUAACACGUGGAUAACCUACCUAUAAGACUGGGAUAACUUCGGGAAACCGGAGCUAAUACCGGAUAAUAUAUUGAACCGCAUGGUUCAAUAGUGAAAGACGGUUUUGCUGUCACUUAUAGCUGGAUCCGCGCCGCAUUAGCUAGUUGGUAAGGUAACGGCUUACCAAGGCAACGAUGCGUAGCCGACCUGAGAGGGUGAUCGGCCACACUGGAACUGAGACACGGUCCAGACUCCUACGGGAGGCAGCAGUAGGGAAUCUUCCGCAAUGGGCGAAAGCCUGACGGAGCAACGCCGCGUGAGUGAUGAAGGUCUUCGGAUCGUAAAACUCUGUUAUUAGGGAAGAACAAAUGUGUAAGUAACUAUGCACGGCUUGACGGUACCUAAUCAGAAAGCCACGGCUAACUACGUG
rnacentral:rRNA from 1 species